GAAAAUUUAAGUUGCAAAGAGGAAAAACACAGGACAAUUGUUCAUCAAUUAAACACCCCAAACCCUUAUUUUCCCCUCAAUUUCGGAUUCCUCAUACCUUUCUUCCCAUUGUCGGCAAGCAAUUCCUCCAAACCAAAAAUCGACACAUCUAAAUACUAAAGAUCGUAGCUGGAAAAUCGCGAGCCCAGAAACUUCAAAAUAAAGAGACCCGUUAGUGGCUCCAAACCGAAAUUUCGUGGCUGAUUUUGCGCCUCAUACCAAGUGCACCCCCUGCUUUAAAAUUGCUGUGAACAUUGAAAGAAUUUUUAGGCCUGCGUAGGGAUAAGAAUUUUUAUCUCUUAGGAUUCUACAUGUUGUUGCCAUUGGAGUUUUUAUUUUCCAGUUGUGAGUAUUAUAUUUCAGUUGCUGGUUUGGACAAUGUAAGAAUAAUGUAGUUAGUGGGGAUGACAUAAGAUUUAUUUUCCUAUUGCAGGCACAAUAGAGUAUUUCAAUUGAUGUAGUGAAGAAAAUGUUAGGUGAUGGAACAUCCUAAUGUUGUUGCCAUUCUCAAUGCUUCCAAUUUCUUUGUGGGAAAAUCUUCGAAUCUUGUUAACGCUUGCAGCAUAAAGAUUUGUACUACAUGAUCAUUCAGAUUUCGGUGAUACUAGCAGCAUAUAGAAAUCAAUAAGGGCACUCAUUUGAUUGAAAUUGUGUUUCAUCAGUUAACUUCUCAAAGAGAGAUUCCCUGCAUAGGUGGAACUUAAUGAGAUUAUAAUAUGCUCUAGUUCUUGGUUCAAUUAGAAACAUAUAAUAUGCUGUAGUUUUGGCUCAAUUAGAAAAAUAUGAUAUGCUGUAUUUUUGGUUUAAUUAGAACAAUAUAAUAUGGAAUGUUAACAUCUUUCAAGUAGAUCAAUGGG
rnacentral:lncRNA from 1 species